CCAUACCGAGCCGCUUCAGGCGAAGUCAUUGAUCCUAUGCUGCCUAGAAAAGCCCAGCAGCGAGUUGACAUGGUGCCCGUACCCCAAACCAACACAGGUGGACAGGUAGAGCAUACCAAGGCGAGUGGGAUAACUAUGGUUAAGGAACUCGGCAAAUUGCCUUCGUAACUUCGGGAGAAGGAGGACCCCAGUAGCGUGAUGAGACUUGCUCUCUGAGCGUGAAGGGGUGGCACAAAAUUGAGGGAAGCGACUGUUUACCAAAAACACAGCAGCGUGCUAAGCCGUAAGGCGCUGUAUACGCUGUGACUCCUGCCCGGUGCUGGAAGGUUACGGGGAUGGGUUAGUCCUUCGGGACGAAGCUCUGAACCUAAGCCCCAGUAAACGGCGGCCGUAACUAUAACGGUCCUAAGGUAGCGAAAUUCCUUGUCGGGUAAGUUCCGACCUGCACGAAUGGAGUAACGACUUCCCUACUGUCUCAACCAUAGACCCAGCGAAAUUGAAGUACGAGUAAAGAUGCUCGUUAGCUGCAGAAGGACGGAAAGACCCCGUGGACCUUUACUAUAACUUGAUGUUGUGUUUUGUCAUAUGUUGUGUAGGAUAGGUGGGAGACUUGGAAGCAUGGACGCUAGUCUGUGUGGAGUCAUCGUUGAAAUACCACCCUGCAUAUGGUGAGGCUCUAACCUAGACCCGUUAUCCGGGUUGGGGACAGCGUCAGGCGGGUAGUUUAACUGGGGCGGUUGCCUCCUAAAGAGUAACGGAGGCGCCCAAAGGUUCCCUCAGCCUGGUUGGCAAUCAGGCGUUGAGUGCAAUGGCAAAAGGGAGCUUGACUGCGAGACCUACAAGUCGAGCAGGAGCGAAAGCUGGGCAUAGUGAUCCGGCGGUUGCGUGUGGAAGCGCCGUCGCUCAACGGAUAAAAGGUACCCCGGGGAUAACAGGCUAAUCUUGCCCAAGCGUCCAUAGCGACGGCAAGGUUUGGCACCUCGAUGUCGGCUCAUCGCAUCCUGGGGCUGAAGCAGGUCCCAAGGGUUGGGCUGUUCGCCCAUUAAAGCGGUACGCGAGCUGGGUUCAGAACGUCGUGAGACAGUUCGGUCCCUAUCCUCUGCAGCCGGGGGUGAAUUGAGGAAAGCUGUCCCUAGUACGAGAGGACCGGGACGGACGCAGCUCUCGUGUGCCAGUUGUCCUGCCAAGGGCAUGGCUGGUUAGCGACCUGCGGAAAGGAUAACCGCUGAAAGCAUCUAAGCGGGAAGCCUCUUCCAAGAUGAAUUCACCCACAGGGUUAACCUGGUAAGGCCCGUGGUAGACCACCACGUUGAUAGGCCGGAAGUGUAAGCGUGGCAACACGUUCAGCUGACCGGUACUAAUCGGCCGAGGGCUUGA
rnacentral:rRNA from 1 species